CGUAGGGUGCGAGCGUUGUCCGGAAUUAUUGGGCGUAAAGGGCUCGUAGGCGGUUUGUCGCGUCGGGAGUGAAAACCAGGUGCUUAACACCUGGCUUGCUUUCGAUACGGGCAGACUAGAGGUAUGCAGGGGAGAACGGAAUUCCUGGUGUAGCGGUGAAAUGCGCAGAUAUCAGGAGGAACACCGGUGGCGAAGGCGGUUCUCUGGGCAUGACCUGACGCUGAGGAGCGAAAGUGUGGGGAGCAAACAGG
rnacentral:rRNA from 1 species